rnacentral:rRNA from 1 species
UUAAGAAUAUUGUUANUUGACGUUACCUAUAGAAUAAGCACCGGCUAACUCCGUGCCAGCAGCCGCGGUAAUACGGAGGGUGCGAGCGUUAAUCGGAAUUACUGGGCGUAAAGAGUACGUAGGCGGUUUAUUAAGUCAGAUGUGAAAUACCCGGGCUUAACCUGGGAACUGCAUUUGAAACUGGUAGGCUAGAGUUUUGUAGAGGGGGGUAGAAUUCCAAGUGUAGCGGUGAAAUGCGUAGAGAUUUGGAGGAAUACCAGUGGCGAAGGCGGCCCCCUGGACAAAAACUGACGCUCAGGUACGAAAGCGUGGGGAGCAAACAGGAUUAGAUACCCUGGUAGUCCACGCUGUAAACGAUGUCGAUUUGAAGGUUGUAGUCUUGAACUAUGGCUUUCGUAGCUAACGCGUUAAAUCGACCGCCUGGGGAGUACGGCCGCAAGGUUAAAACUCAAAUGAAUUGACGGGGGCCCGCACAAGCGGUGGAGCAUGUGGUUUAAUUCGAUGCAACGCGAAGAACCUUACCUACUCUUGACAUCCAAAGAACUAUAUAGAGAUAUAUGGGUGCCUUCGGGAACUUUGAGACAGGUGCUGCAUGGCUGUCGUCAGCUCGUGUUGUGAAAUGUUGGGUUAAGUCCCGCAACGAGCGCAACCCUUAUCCUUUGUUGCCAGCGAUUCGGUCGGGAACUCAAAGGAGACUGCCGAUGAUAAAUCGGAGGAAGGUGAGGAUGACGU